AAAAAUGAAAAAUGGCUGCAUAGCGCCCCCUAUGGUGAAAACUCACCUGACGCCUGUACACUUUGUCAAAAUGACACAAAAUUUGACACACAUGUGUAUCUCAAUAAGAUCUACAAAAAAGUCAGUGCAGGCGUAUCUGUCAAAUGUACCGUUAAAGGGCUAUUUCGCAUUUUUUGCCGAUCCGCACACAUUGGAAUUUCGCUAACUCCUCCGAAGGCUUUCGUUCCACUGGCACCACAUUUGCUCAGGCCAAUCUACACCCCAUGGCCAUUAAAAGUUGUACAAAUCAUGAUGCUGCACCCCACGGUUUACGUUCUAGGGGGCGCCAAAGAUAACCCAAAAAUCCACAUUCUUAAAAGUCUUAUAACUUUUUAUUUUUCUCCUCACUGGCCUCCAAGUUUUCUAGGAUGAUGCAAUGUCCAGCCAUCAACACAUUUGUGAAGGAAUUUUUACUCCCCAAAAGAGCGCCCCCCCAUGGCAGGAGAAAAAAGUCCAUUUUUUCUUGUCCCCUAACAUGAAAAUACACAUUGUUGAGUGUCACGCCUAAACGCUUUGUCAUAUUGACAAAAAAUUUGACAAUCACGUGUAUCUCAAUAAGAUCUACAAAAAAGUCAUAGAGCGCGUAUCUGUAUAAUGUACGGUUAAAGGGCUAUUUUGCAUUUUUUGCCGAUCCGCACACAUUGGAAUUUCGCUAACUCCUCCGAAGGCUUUCGUUCCACCGGCACCAAAUUUGCUCAGGCCAAUCUACACCCCAUGGCCAUUAAAAGUUGUACAAAUCAUGACGCUGCAACCCACGGUGAAGGUUCUAGGGGGCGCCAAAGAUAACCCAAAAAUCCACAUUCUUAAAAGUCUUAUAACUUUUUAUUUUUGUCCUCACUGGCCUCCAAGUUUUCUAGGAUAAUGCAAUGUCCAGCCAUCAACACAUUUGUGAAGGAAAUUUUACUCCCCAAAAGAGCGCCCCCCCAUGGCAGGAGAAAAAAGUCUAUUUUUUCUUGUCCCCUAAGGUGAAAAUACACAUUGUUUAGUGUCACGCCUGUACGCUUUGGCAAAAUGACACAAAUAUUAACACACACAUGUAUCUCAAUAAGAUCUACGAAAAAGUCAAUGCGCGCAUAUCUGUCAAAUGUACGGUUAAAGGGUUAUUCCGCAUUUUUUGCCGAUCCGCACACAUUGGAAUGUGGCUAACUCCUCCGAAGGCUUUCGUUCCACUGGCACCACAUUUGCUCAGGCCAAUCUACACCCCAUGGCCAUUAAAAGUUAUUCAAAUCAUGACGCUGCACCCCACGGUUUAGGUUCUAGGGGGCGCCAAAGAUAACCCUAAAAUCCACAUAUUUAAAAGUCUUAUAACUUCUUAUUUUUGUCCUCACUGGCCUCCAGGUUUUCUAGGAUGAUGCAAUGUCCAGCCAUCAACACAUUUGUGAAGGAAUUUUUACUCCCCAAAAGAGCGCCCCCCCAUGGCAGGAGAAAAAAGUCCAUUUUUUCUUGUCCCCUAAGGUGAAAAUACAUAUUGUUGAGAUUCACGCCUAUACGCUUUGUCAUAUUGACACAAAAUUUGACAAUCACGUGUAUCUCAAUAAGAUCUACGAAAAAGUCAAUGGGCGUGUAUCUGUCAAAUGUACGGUUAAAGGGCUAUUUUGCAUUUUUUGCCGAUUCGCACACAUUGGAAUGUGGCUAACUCCUCCUAAGGCUUUCGUCCCACUGACACCAAAUUUGCUCAGGCCAAUCUACACCCCAUGGCCAUUAAAAGUUAUUCAAAUCAUGACGCUGCACCCCACGGCUCACGUUCUAGGGGGCGCCAAAGAUGACCCAAAUAUCCACAUUCUUAAAAGAAUCCACAUCCCCCCCCCCAUCCCCCAUCCCCCAUGGCAGGAGAAACAGUCAAGUUUUUCCUGCCCAUCACUCAAUGGCUCAAUCGCAUCGUUCUCCCGGCAACACCGUAACAAGGAGCAACUUGCCGUUUGGAUAUAUCCUAGCUGUGUUUGUGGCCUCACUCAUGGUCCAAACUUUUUUCAAAUAGGACAUGUAGUUUGUCUGCAGCGAGUGUUUUGGUAGAAACUGCGCCUCCCAUUCAUUAUAAUGGGAAAUGACCACAGACAAGUGCGCACACCAUCUUUGGACCUUGAGUGUGACGCGAUCGGGAGGGGGAGGCGGUCGCACUGGGGGCGGCGCAACGCGGCUCGGGCCCGCCAGUGCCCCAACGGGGCCCUAGUUAUUAGGGCCCGAGCGUAGCUGCUAAGCAGCUGCGAGAGCCCUAUUAUUCCCCAAGUGGUUUUUCUUUGUUUCUUUCUUUCUUUCUUUCUUUCUUUAGGGCCCGAGCGUAGCUGCUAAGCAGCUGCGAGAGCCCUAUUAUUCUCCAAGUGGUUUUUCUUUGUUUCUUUCUUUCUUUCUUUCUUUCUUUCUUCUUUUUCCUCCCCUUUGAACUGGAAAAUGGCCCACUUCCCACUGGCGAAAACUCAUGAAAUUUGGCAGGACGACCGGGCCUGGUGAAAAAUUCGAUAUUCUGAAGUCGCCCAAACAAUAAAAUGCAAAAUGGCUCCAUAGCGCCCCCUAAGGUGGAAAUUCACACUAUUGACUGUCACGCCUGUACGCUUGGUCAUAUUGACACAAAAAUUGACACACAUAUGUAUCUCAAUAAGAUCUACAAGAAAGUCAAUGCGCGCAUAUCUGUCAAAUGUACGGUUAAAGGGUUAUUUCGCAUUUUUUGCCGAUCCGCACACAUUGGAAUUUCGCUAACUCCUCCGAAGGCUUUCGUUCCACCGGCACCACAUUUGCUCAGGCCAAUCUACACCCCGUGGCCAUUAAAAGUUAUCAAAAUCAUGACGCUGCACCCCAAGGUUUAGGUUCUAGGGGGCGCCAAAGAUAACACUAAAAUCCACAUAUUUAAAAGUCUUAUAACUUUUUAUUUUUGUCCUCACUGGCCUCCAAGUUUUCUAGGAUGAUGCAAUGUCCAGCCAUCAACACAUUUGUGAAGGAAUUUUUACUCCCCAAAAGAGCGCCCCCCCAUGGCAGGAGAAAAAAGUCCAUUUUUUCUUGUCCCCUAAGGUGAAAAUACACAUUGUUGAGUGUCACGCCUAUACGCUUUGUCAAAAUGACACAAAAAUUGACACACACAUGUAACUCAAUAAGAUCUACGAAAAAGUCAAUGCGCGCGUAUCUGUCAAAUGUACGGUUAAAGGGUUAUUCCGCAUUUUUUGCCGAUCCGCACAUAUUGGAAUGUGGCUAACUCCUCCUAAGGCUUUCGUUCCACCGGCACCACAUUUGCUCAGGCCAAUCUACACCCCAUGGCCAUUAAAAGUUAUCAAAAUCAUGACGCUGCACCCCACGGUUUAGGUUCUAGGGGGCGCCAAAGAUAACCCUAAAAUCCACAUAUUUAAAAGUCUUAUAACUUUUUAUUUUUGUCCUCACUGGCCUCCAAGUUUUCUAGGAUGAUGCAAUGUCCAGCCAUCAACACAUUUGUGAAGGAAUUUUUACUCCCCAAAAGAGCGCCCCCCAUGGCAGGAGAAAAAAGUCCAUUUUUUCUUGUCCCUUAAGGUGAAAAUACAUAUUGUUGAGAUUCACGCCUAUACGCUUUGUCAUAUUGACACAAAAUUUGACAAUCACGUGCCUUGCCUGGUAUCAUUUUUUUCAGCACAACCUCACCUGUGCGAAUUUACAGUUAUUUUAUCAUGUUGACAUACUGAAUUUACACAAUGGACCCAAAUUCACACACAAAACAUAAAAUCCGAGUGGAAAAAAGUAACAUUUUUACUGUGAAAACCACAAAUAUGUGUGAUGAACUGUUUUUAAAACUUAAACUUCAAAUAAAAAUUGUAAACUUCAAAAAAUAUGCAAAUUUUUAACAAAGAACAUAGUGAUUUACCUCUAUUUACAUCAAAAUGCAGGCAAUGGCCCAGGCGUUCUUUGUAAAAUUAUUUACAAAACACUGUAUAGUCUCACAAAUGUCACUUUUUAUUUAUGCCACUACAAAAAAACAUGAUGUAAAUGAUGCAUGAUGUAAAACAUGAUGUAAAAAACUUUUGUAGAUCCUCCUCUAUGUCAGUCCAUGUGUAAUUUUUCCAUAAUUCUUUGUUUUUUGCAGCAUUUUUGUUAGUGUAACUGCAGAUUGUGCUGACAGUGUCUAUGGCACACAAAAAAAAAAAAUUAAAAUGCCUCAACAUGAACCCCUGGUGGUCUCUGAGGGUGAAACCUGCUAACUGCUGCAGCUCUGUCAGCUUCAGUCUCCCAUGCAGAGCUCGGAGCGCAUGUGUGGCUCUGCACCCUUAGCAGCGUUGCUAACUCCUCAGUAAGGAAAGCCUGCUUCAUGUCAGAGUCUCUAAACUCCAGAAGAAGUCGAUAAAAGUCCCUUUGUUUCAAAAAAAAAGUCGUUAGGGGGUCUGAAAAGUCAUUGAAUCUAACAACAAAGUCGCUAGGUUUGCAACUACGUGUCCCAGACUGCAUCCUUGCUGAGAGUCCCUCCCUCCCUUCUCAUGUUGCAGGAAGAACGUAAGCGCCCGCCCCUUGUCAAUCAGUCACCAUAUAAUUUUGGAUUGGUUGUUGUGGUGAAGUUUUCCACCAAUAGGAGAGAUGUUGUGGUGUGUUUUUUUUUUCUUUUGGCAAGCCUUUUCCGCCUGUAAGACCUGUCGCUAAUGUCUGCAUGCUAUGUUUUCCUGUCUCAUACAGCGCGAUCGAGCGCCGAACGUGAUCAAAAUAAGCAGAAAAAAAGUAUCGCGGACAUAAUUUAUCAUAACUCUGGUUUUAUUUGGCCUAUCAACACAAUUUAAAAACUGGUAUAUAGGUUGAGGUCCUCACUUUUGAGAUAAGUUGAAACGGAGAGUCAACGAGGCUCCGUCUUGCAGCUACAUCCGGUUAAAUAUGUCAUGUGACUUGAACGCACACACAGACACACACACACGCACACACACACACACACACACACACACACACACACACACACACACACACACACACACACUCAGAGUCUGGUUUUUAGCACCUGCAAAAACAUGCUAUUUACAUAUUUGACAAGAAUGCAGAGGCUCCUUUUGCCCCUGAAAAAAAUCAAAUUUCAAACACAACUUGACUGCUCAUUUCUCCAAAAGACAACCAUGAAGCUCCAUCCAAACCUGAAGCAGGCAGUUGGUGCAUGUGUACAGUAACCUGAGGGGAGUGAGGUGAGUGCUUCUGAGGAGAACAUGAGCAGUGAAGAUUCACCUUGGAGCUAGAACAGAGACAUGCACAUGAUUAUACAGGGGCAGGGGCUCAAGUUUUUUCCAGUCGUUUAUACAAUAUGGAAAUUAAUGUGAAAUUAAAACACAAAGUAUUAAUAGAAAGGUAAUGACUGUCCUGUGUAGGUGACAGUGAUAUCCAAUAGGCUAGGCACUCACGAGGCUGGCUGUGGCAAGUGUAAGUGAAAGCAACACGCACUGGCAGGAAGAACAGCAAACGCCGAUGAAGGAAAAGGGUCUUUGCAGUGAUGGGCGUUACCAGAGAGGGCGAUGGCCAGAGGACACAAAUGGGACGGGAAGGCAGCACGUUGGGGGGGGGGGGGGGACGCGACACGGCUCGGGCCCGCCAGUGCCCCAACGGGGUCCUAGUUAUUAUUUUUCCUCCGCUUUAAACUGGAAAAUGGCCCACUUCCCACUGGCGAAAACUCAUGAAAUAUGGCAGGACGACCGGGCCUGGUGAAAAAUUCGAUAUUCUGAAGUCGCCCAAACAAGAAAAUGCAAAAUGGCUCAAUAGCGCCCCCUAAGGUGAAAAUUCACACUAUUGACUGUCACGCCUGUACGCUUUGUCAUAUUGACACAAAAAUUGACACACACAUGUAUCUCAAUAAGAUCUACAAAAAAGUCAGUGCGGGCUGUCUGUCAAAUGUACGGUUAAAGGGUUAUUUCGCAUUUUUUGCCGUUCCGCACACAUUGGAAUUUCGCUACCUCCUCCGAAGGCUUUCGUUCCACCAGCACUACAUUUGCUCAGGCCAAUCUACACCCCAUGGCCAUUGAAAGUUGUACAAAUCAUGACGCUGCACCCCACGGUUUACGUUCUAGGGGGCGCCAAAGAUAACCCACAAAUCCACAUUCUUAAAAAUCUUAUAACUUUUUAUUUUUGUCCUCAUUGGCCUCCAAGUUUUCUAGGAUGAUGCAAUGUCCAGCCAUCAACACAUUUGUGAAGGAAUUUUUACUCCCCAAAACAGCGCCCCCCCAUGGCAGGACAAAAAAGGCCAUUUUUUCUUGUCCCCUAAGGUGAAAAUACACAUUGUUCAGUGUCACGCCUAUACGCUUUGUCAUAUUGACACAAAAUUUGACACACACGUGUAUCUCAAUAAGAUCUACGAGAAAGUCAAUGUGCGCGUAUCUGUAAAAUGUACGGUUAAAGGGCUAUCUUGCAUUUUUUGCCGAUUCGCACACAUUGGAAUGUGGCUGACUCCUCCUAAGGCUUUCGUUCUACUGACACCAAAUUUGCUCAGGCCAAUCUACACCCCAUGGCCAUUCAAAGUUGUACAAAUCAUGACGCUGCACCCCACGGUUUAGGUUCUAGGGGGCGCCAAAGAUGACCCAAAUAUCCACAUUUUUAAAAGUCUUAUAACUUUUUAUUUUUGUCCUCACUGGCUUCCAAGUUUUCUAGGAUGAUGCAAUGUGCAGCCAUCAACACAUCUGUGAAGGAAUUUUUUCUCCCCAAAAGAGCGCCCCCCCCCCCAUGGCAGGAGAAAAAGUCAAGUUUUUCCAGCCCAUCGCUUAAUAGCUCAAACGCAUUGCUCUCCCGCUAAAACCAAAAGGAGGAGCAACUUGCCAUUUGGAUAUGUCCUAGCUGUGUUUGUGCCCUCACUCAUGGUCCAGAGUUUUUUCAAAUAGGACAUGUAGUUUGUCUGCAGCGAGCGUUUUGGUAGAAACUGUGCCUCCCAUUCAUUAUAAUGGGAAAUGACCAAAGACAGGUGCGCACACCAUUUUUGGACCUUGACUUUGACGUCACAGUUUGAGAUACAAAUGUUAUUUGACCUCUGACCUUUGGUGGACACCCUAACCUUUCAACCCGCGAAAACGGCGUUUCAAUAGCUCUUACGGCUUUCCUACAAAUACACUUUGUUCAGCUACUCCUACUGUCCUUUAAGCUCUGCUUCUCAGAUCAUCAAAGAGUGUGCACGUGUGUAAUGAGCGCAUAUUGAAUGUUAAUUAUGUUAAAUAUGUUAAUUAUUAGAAGAAAAAACAACAACAGUCCUUUUGGACAAAAUUUCUUUUUAUUACAGAAUUAGAAUAAUGGAAGCAUAGUCCAAGGAAACCAUUCAAGUGAUGUCAUACCUCAUAAUUUAUUGAGAUGUUGGCUAGUCUGGGCAUUUCUUCAUUCAUCAGGUUUCCUGCAUGCAUACUAACAGAGCACAUCAGUAGCAGUGAGUGAUAAGUAUGAGUGUGUCAUUGUGUAAGAAAGAAAGUGGUUUACUUACACAUCCAUAGAAAAUAGGUGGUUGAGCACAGCACGCAAACAAAGCUUUGCCACAACGGUUGAACUUCCCAAGUAGCUGAUACCAAGGUCACACAAUCAUGGUGAGCAAAGGUCAAACCAGGCCAGGCACUCACGAGGCUGGCUGUGGCAAGUGUAAGUGAAAGCAACACGCAAUGGCAGGAAGAACAGCAAACACCGAUGAAGGAAAAGGGUCUUUGCAGUGAUGGGCGUCACCAGAGAGGGCGAUGGCCAGAGGGCACGAAUGGGACGGGGAGGCGGUCGCGCUAGGGGCGGCGCGACGCGGCUCGGGCCCGCCAGUGCCCCAACGGGGCCCUAGUGUUAUUAUUAGGGCCCGAGCGUAGCUGCUAAGCAGCUGCGAGAGCCCUCUUGUUCCUGAUGGAUUCUUCUUUCGUUAUUAUUAUUAGGGCCCGAGCGUAGCUGCUAAGCAGCUGCGAGAGCCCUCUUGUUCCUGAUGGAUUCUUCUUUCGUUAUUAUUAGGGCCCGAGCGUAGCUGCUAAGCAGCUGCGAGAGCCCUCUUGUUCCUGAUGGAUUCUUCUUUUGUUAUUAUUAUUAUUAUUAUUAUUAUUAUUUUUCCUCCGCUUUAAACUGGAAAAUGGCCCACUUCCCACUGGCGAAAACUCAUGAAAUUUGGCAGGACGACCGGGCCUGGUGAAAAAUUCGAUAUUCUGAAGUCGCCCAAACAAUAAAAUGCAAAAUGGCUCCAUAGCGCCCCCUAAGGUGAAAAUUCACACUAUUUACUGUCACGCCUUUACGCUUUGUCAUAUUGACACAAAAAUUGACACACACAUGUAUCUCAAUAAGAUCUACAAAAAAGUCAGUGCAGGCGUAUCUGUCAAAUGUACGGUUAAAGGGUUAUUUCGCAUUUUUUGCCGAUCCGCACACAUUGGAAUUUCGCUAACUCCUCCGAAGGCUUUCGUUCCAACGGCACCAAAUUUGCUCAGGCCAAUCUACACCCCAUGGCCAUUAAAAGUUGUACAAAUCAUGACGCUGCACCCCACGGUUUACGUUCUAGGGGGCGCCAAAGAUAACCCAAAAAUCCACAGUCUUAAAAGUCUUAUAACUUUUUAUUUUUGUCCUCACUGGCCUCCAAGUUCUCUAGGAUGAUGCAAUGUCCAGCCAUCAACACAUUUGUGAAGGAAUUUUUACUCCCCAAAAGAGCGCCCCCCCAAUGGCAGGAGAAAAAAGUCCAUUUUUUCUUGUCUCCUAAGGCGAAAAUACACAUUGUUGAGUGUCACGCCUUUACGCUUUGUCAAAAUGACACAAAAAUUGACACACACAUGUAUCUCAAUACGAUCUACGAAAAAGUCAAUGCGAGCGUAACUGUUCAAUGUAAAGGGCUAUUUCGCAUUUUUUGCCGAUUCGCACACAUUGGAAUGUGGCUGACUCCUCCUAAAGCUUUUGUCCCAUCGGCUUCAAAUUUGCUCAGGUCAAUCUACACCCCAUGGCCAUUCAAAGUUGUACAAAUCAUGACGCUGCACCCCACGGUUUACGUUCUAGGGGGCUCCAAAGAGGACCCAAAUAUCCACAUUUUUAAAAAUCUUAUAACUUUUUAUUUUUGUCCUCACUGGCCUCCAAGUUCUCUAGGAUGAUGCAAUGUCCAGCCAUCAACACAUUUGUGAAGGAAUUUUUACUCCCCAAAAGAGCGCCCCCCCAAUGGCAGGAGAAAAAAGUCCAUUUUUUCUUGUCUCCUAAGGCGAAAAUACACAUUGUUGACUGUCACGCCUUUACGCUUUGUCAAAAUGACACAAAAAUUGACACACACAUGUAUCUCAAUACGAUCUACGAAAAAGUCAAUGCGAGCGUAUCUGUUCAAUGUAAAGGGCUAUUUCGCAUUUUUUUCCGAUUCGCACACAUUGGAAUGUGGCUGACUCCUCCUAAAGCUUUUGUCCCAUCGGCUUCAAAUUUGCUCAGGUCAAUCUACACCCCAUGGCCAUUCAAAGUUGUACAAAUCAUGACGCUGCACCCCACGGUUUACGUUCUAGGGGGUGCCAAAGAUGACCCAAAUAUCCACAUUUUUAAAAGUCUUAUAACUUUUUAUUUUUGUCCUCACUGGCCUCCAAGUUUUCUAGGAUGAUGCAUUGUCCAGCCAUCAACACAUUUGUGAAAGAAUUUUUUCUCCCCAAAAGAGCGCCCCCCCAUGGCAGGAGAAAAAGUCAAGUUUUUCCUGCCCAUCGCUCAAUGGCUCAAACGCAUCUCUCUCUCGGCAAAACGGAAAGGAGGAGCAACUUGCCAUUUGGAUAUGUACUAGCUGUGUUUGUGCCCUCACUCAUGGUCCAGACUUUUUUCAAAAAGGACAUGGAGUUUGUCUGCAGCGAGCGUUUUGGUAGAAACUGCGCCUCCCAUUCAUUAUAAUGGUAAAUGACCACAGACAAGUGCGCACACCAUCUUUGGACCUUGAGUGUGACGCGAUCGGGAGGGGUAGGCGGUCGCGCUGGGGGCGGCGCGACACGGCUCGGGCCCGCCAGUGCCCCAACGGGGCCCUAGUGUUAUUAUUAUUAUUUUUCCUCCGCUUUAAACUGGAAAAUGGCCCACUUCCCACUGGCGAAAACUCAUGAAAUUUGGCAGGACGACCGGGCCUGGUGAAAAAUUCGAUAUUCUGAAGUCGCCCAAACAAGAAAAUGCAAAAUGGCUCAAAAGCGCCCCCAAAGGUGAAAAUUCACACUAUUGACUGUCACGCCUGUACGCUUUGUCAUAUUGACACAAAAAUUGACAGACACAUGUAUCUCAAUAAGAUCUACAAAAAAGUCAGUGCGGGCGUAUCUGUCAAAUGUACGGUUAAAGGGUUAUUUCGCAUUUUUUGCCGUUCCGCACACAUUGGAAUGUGGCUAACUCCUCCGAAGGCUUUCGUUCCACCAGCACUACAUUUGCUCAGGCCAAUCUACACCCCAUCACUUUUUAUUUUUGUCCUCACUGGCCUCCAAGUUUUCUAGGAUGAUGCAAUGUCCAGCCAUCAACACAUUUGUGAAGGAAUUUUUACUCCUUAAAAGAGCGCCCCCCCAUGGCAGGAGAAAAAAAUCAAUUUUUUCUUGUCCCAUAAGGUGAAAAUACACAUUGUUCAGUGUCACGCCUGUACGCUUUGUCUUAUUGACACAAAAUUUAACAAUCACGUGUAUCUCAAUAAGAUCUACGAAGAAGUCAAUGCGCACGUAUCUGUAAAAUGUACGGUUAAAGGUCUAUUUUGCAUUUUGUGCCGAUUCGCACACAUUGGAAUGCGGCUAACUCCUCCUAAAGCUUUCGUCCCACCUACACCAAAUUUGCUCAGGCCAAUCUACACCCCAUGGCCAUUCAAAGUUGUACAAAUCAUGACGCUGCACCCCACGGUUUAGGUUCUAGGGGGCGCCAAAGAGGACCCAAAUAUCCACAUUUUUAAAAGUCUUAUAACUUUUUUUUUUUGUCCUCACUGGCCUCCAAGUUUUCUAGGAUGAUGCAAUGUCCAGCCAUCAACACAUUUGGGAAGGAAUUUUUACUCCCCAAAAGAGCGCCCCCCCAUGGCAGGAGAAAAAGUCAAGUUUUUCCUGCCCAUCGCUCAAUGGCUCAAACGCAUCGCUCUCUCGGCAAAACCGAAAGGAGGAGCAACUUGCCAUUUGGAUAUAUACUAGCUGUGUUUGUGCCCUCACUCAUGGUCCAGACUUUUUUCAAAAAGGACAUGGAGUUUGUCUGCAGCAAGCGUUUUGGUAGAAACUGCGCCUCCCAUUCAUUAUAAUGGUAAAUGACCACAGACAAGUGCGCACACCAUCUUUGGACCUUGAGUGUGACGCAAUCGGGAGGGGUAGGCGGUCGCGCUGGGGGCGGCGCGACACGGCUCGGGCCCGCCAGUGCCCCACCGGGGCACUAGUUAUUAUUUUUCCUCCGCUUUAAACUGGAAAAUGGCCCACUUCCCACUGGCGAAAACUCAGGAAAUUUGGCAGGACGACCGGGCCUGGUGAAAAAUUCGAUAUUCUGAAGUCUCCCAAACAAGAAAAUGCAAAAUGGCUCCAUAGCGCCCCCUAAGGUGAAAAUUCACACUAUUGACUGUCACGCAUGUACGCUUUGUCAUAUUGACACAAAAAUUGACACACACAUGUAUCUCAAUAAGAUCUACAAAAAAGUCAGUGCGGGCGUAUCUGUCAAAUGUAUGGUUAAAGGGUUAUUUCGCUUUUUUUGCAGAUCCGCACACAUUGGAAUUUCGCUAACUCCUCCGAAGGUUUUCGUUCCACCAGCACCACAUUUGCUCAGGCCAAUCUACACCCCAUGGCCAUUCAAAGUUGUACAAAUCAUGACGCUGCACCCCACGGUUUACGUUCUAGGGGGCGCCAAAGAUAACCCAAAAAUCCACAGUCUUAAAAGUCUUAUAACUUUUUAUUUUUGUCCUCACUGGCCUCCAAGUUCUCUAGGAUGAUGCAAUGUCCAGCCAUCAACACAUUUGUGAAGGAAUUUUUACUCCCCAAAAGAGCGCCCCCCCAUGGUAGGAGAAAAAAGUCAAUUUUUUCUUGUCCCCUUACAUGAAAAUACACAUUGUUGAGUGUCACGCCUGAACGCUUUGUCAUAUUGACAAAAAAUUUGACACACACAUGUAUCUCAAUAAGAUCUACGAAAAAGUCAAUGCACGCGUAUCUGUAAAAUGUACGGCUAAACGGCUAUUUUGCAUUUUUUGCCGAUUCGCACACAUUGGAAUGUGGCUAACUCCUCCUAAGGCUUUCGUCCCACUGACACCAAUUUUGCUCAGGCCAAUCUACACCCCAUGGCCAUUCAAAGUUGUAAAAAUCAUGCCGUUGCACCCCACGGUCUACGUUCUAGGGGGCGCCAAAGAGGACCCAAAUAUCCACAUUUUUAAAAGUCUUAUAACUUUUUAUUUUUGUCCUCACUGGCCUCCAAGUUUUCUAGGAUGAUGCAAUGUCCAGCCAUCAACACAUUUGUGAAGGAAUUUUUUCUCCCCAAAAGAGCACCCCCCCAUGGCAGGAGAAAAAGUCAAGUUUUUCCUGCCCACCGCUCAAUGGCUCAAACGCAUCACUCUCUCGGCAAAACCGAAAGGAGGAGCAACUUGCCAUUUGGAUAUAUACUAGCUGUGUUUGUGCCCUCACUCAUGGUCCAGACUUUUUUCAAAAAGGACAUGGAGUUUGUCUGCAGCAAGCGUUUUGGUAGAAACUGCGCCUCCCAUUCAUUAUAAUGGUAAAUGACCACAGACAAGUGCGCACACCAUCUUUGGACCUUGAGUGUGACGCGAUCGGGAGGGGUAGGCGGUCGCGCUGGGGGCGGCGCGACACGGCUCGGGCCCGCCAGUGCCCCACCGGGGCCCUAGUUCUUUCUUUCUUUCUUCUUAUUUUUCCUCCCCUUUGAAGGGGAAAAUGGCCCACUUCCCACUGGCGAAAACUCAGGAAAUUUGGCAGGACGACCGGGCCUGGUGAAAAAUUCGAUAUUCUGAAGUCGCCCAAACAAUAAAAUGCAAAAUGGCUCCAUAGCGCCCCCUAAGGUGAAAAUUCACCCUAUUGACUGUCACGCCAGUACGCUUUGUCAUAUUGACACAAAAUUUGACACACACAUGUAUCUCAAUAAGAUCUACAAAAAAGUCAGUGCGGGCGUAUCUGUCAAAUGUACGGUUAAAGGGUUAUUAGGGCCCGAGCGUAGCUGCUAAGCAGCUGCGAGAGCCCUCUUGUUCCUGAUGGAUUCUUCUUUCGUUAUUUUUCCUCCGCUUUAAACUGGAAAAUGGCCCACUUCCCACUGGCGAAAACUCAGGAAAUUUGGCAGGACGACCGGGCCUGGUGAAAAAUUCGAUAUUCUGAAGUCGCCCAAACAAAAAAAUGAAAAAUGGCUCCAUAGCGCCCCCUAUGGUGAAAACUCACCUGACACCUGUACGCUUUGUCAAAAUGACACAAAAUUUGACACACAUGUGUAUCUCAAUAAGAUCUACAAAAAAGUCAGUGCGGGCGUAUCUGUCAAAUGUACCGUUAAAGGGCUAUUUCGCAUUUUUCGCUGAUCCGCACACAUUGGAAUUUCGCUAACUCCUCCGAAGGCUUUCGUUCCACCGGCACCAAAUUUGCUCAGGCCAAUCUACACCCCAUGGCCAUUAAAAGUUGUACAAAUCAUGACGCUGCACCCCACGGUUUACGUUCUAGGGGGCGCCAAAGAUAACCCAAAAAUCCACAUUCUUAAAAGUCUUAUAACUUUUUAUUUUUGUCCUCACUGGCCUCCAAGUUUUUCUAGGAUGAUGCAAUGUCCAGCCAUCAACACAUUUGUGAAGAAAUUUUUACUCCCCAAAAGAGCGCCCCCCAUGGCAGGAGAAAAAAGUCCAUUUUUUCUUGUCCCCUAAGGUGAAAAUACACAUUGUUGAGUGUCAUGCCUGAACGCUUUGUCAUAUUGACACAAAAUUUGACACACACGUGUAUCUCAAUAAGAUCUACGAAAAAGUCAAAGAGCGCGUAUCUGUAUAAUGUACGGUUAAAGGGCUAUUUCGCAUUUUUUGCCGAUCCGCACACAUUGGAAUUUCGCUAACUCCUCCGAAGGCUUUCGUUCCACCGGCACAACAUUUGCUCAGGCCAAUCUACACCCCAUGGCCAUUAAAAGUUGUACAAAUCAUGACGCUGCACCCCACGGUUUAGGUUCUAGGGGGCGCCAAAGAUAACCCAAAAAUCCACAUUCUUAAAAGUCUUAUAACUUUUUAUUUUUGUCCUCACUGGCCUCCAAGUUUUCUAGGAUGAUGCAAUGUCCAGCCAUCAACACAUUUGUGAAGGAAUUUUUACUCCCCAAAAGAGCGCCCCCCCAUGGCAGGAGAAAAAAGUCCAUUUUUUCUUGUCCCAUAAGGUGAAAAAACACAUUGUUGAGUGUCACGCCUCUACGCUUUGUCAAAAUGACACAAAAUUUGACAAUCACGUGUAUCUCAAUAAGAUCUAUGAAAAACUCAUGCGCAAAUAUCUGUAAAAUGUACGGUUAAAGGGCUAUUUUGCAUUUUUUGCCGAUUCGCACACAUUGGAAUGUGGCUAACUCCUCCUAAGGCUUUCGUCCCACUGACACCAAAUUUGCUCAGGCCAAUCUACACCCCAUGGCCAUUCAAAGUUGUAAAAAUCAUGACGCUGCACCCCACGGUUUACGUUCUAGGGGGUGCCAAAGAUGACCCAAAUAUCCACAUUCUUAAAAGAAUCCACAUCCCCCCCUCCCCCCAUGGCAGGAGAAAAAGUCAAGUUUUUCCUGCCCAUCGCUCAAUGGCUCAAUCGCAUCGCUCUCUCGGCAAAAGCGAAAGGAGGAGCAACUUGCCAUUUGGAUAUAUCCUAGCUGUGUUUGUGCCCUCACUCAUGGUCCAGACUUUUUUCAAAUAGGACAUGUAGUUUGUCUGCAGCGAGUGUUUUGGUAGAAACUGCGCCUCCCAUUCAUUAUAAUGGGAAAUAACCACAGACAAGUGCGCACUCCAUCUUUGGACCUAGAGUGUGACGCGAUCGGGAGGUGGAGGCAGUCGCGCUGGGGGCGGCGUGACGCGGCUCGGGCCCGACAGUGCCCCACCGGGGCCCUAGUUUUGCAUUUUUUGCCGACCCGCACACAUUGGAAUUUCACUAACUCCUCCGAAGGCUUUCGUUCCACCAGCACCACAUUUGCUCAGGCCAAUCUACACCCCAUGGCCAUUCAAAGUUGUACAAAUCAUGACGCUGCACCCCACGGUUUACGUUCUAGGGGGCGCCAAAGAUAACCCAAAAAUCCACAGUCUUAAAAGUCUUAUAACUUUUUAUUUUUGUCCUCACUGGCCUCCAAGUUCUCUAGGAUGAUGCAAUGUCCAGCAAUUAACACAUUUGUGAAGGAAUUUUUACUCGCCAAAAGAGCGCCCCCCCCAUGGCAGGAGAAAAAAGUCCAUUUUUUCUUGUCCCCUAAGGCGAAAAUACACAUUGUUGAGUGUCACGCCUGUACGCUUUGUCAUAUUGACACAAAAUUUGACAAUCACGUGUAUCUCAAUAAGAUCUACGAAAAAGUCAAUGUGCGCGUAUCUGUAAAAUGUACGGUUAAAGGGCUAUUUCGCAUUUUUGGCCGAUCCGCACACAUUGGAAUGCGGCUAACUCCUCCUAAGGCUUUCGUUCCACUGACACCAAAUUUGCUCAGGCCAAUCUACACCCCAUGGCCAUUCAGAGUUGUAAAAAUCAUGACGCUGCACCCCACAGUUUACGUUCUAGGGGGCGCCAAAGAGGACCCAAAUAUCCACAUUUUUAAAAGUCUUAUAACUUUAUUUUUGUCCUCACUGGCCUCCAAGUUUUCUAGGAUGAUGCAAUGUUCAGCCAUCAACACAUUUGUGAAGGAAUUUUUUCUCCCCAAAUGAGGGCCCCCCCCCAUGGCAGGAGAAAAAGUCAAGUUUUUCCUGCCCAUCGCUCAAUGGCUCAAACGCAUCGCUCUCUCGGCAAAACCGAAAUGAGGAGCACCUUGCCAUUUGGAUAUAUACUAGCUGUGUUUGUGCCCUCACUCAUGGUCCAGACUUUUUUCAAAAAGGACAUGGAGUUUGUCUGCAGCGAGCGUUUUGGUAGAAACUGCGCGUCCCAUUCAUUAUAAUGGAAAUGACCACAGACAAGUGCGCACACCAUCUUUGGACCUUGAGUGUGACUCGAUCAGGAGGGGGAGGCGGUCGCGCUGGGGGUGGCGCGACACGGCUCGGGCCCGCCAGUGCCCCAACGGGGCCCUAGUUAGGGCCCGAGCGUAGCUGCUAAGCAGCUGCGAGAGCCCUCUUGUUCCUGUAGUUUCCUUCUUUUGUUAUUAUUAUUAUUUUUCCUCCCCUUUGAACUGGAAAAUGGCCCACUUCCCACUGGCGAAAACUCAUGAAAUUUGGCAGGACGACCGGGCCUGGUGAAAAAUUUGAUAUUCCGAAGUCGCCCAAACAAGAAAAUGCAAAAUGGCUCCAUAGCGCCCCCUAAGGUGAAAAUUCACACUAUUCACUGUCACGCCUGUACGCUUUGUCAAAAUGACACAAAAAUUGACACACACAUGUAUCUCAAUAAGAUCUACAAAAAAGUCAGUGCGGGCGUAUCUGUCAAAUGUACGGUUAAAGGGUUAUUUCGCAUUUUUUGCCGAUCCGCACACAUUGGAAUUUCGCUAACUCCUCCGAAGGCUUUCGUUCCACCGGCACCACAUUUGCUCAGGCCAAUCUACACCCCAUGGCCAUUAAAAGUUAUUCAAAUCAUGACGCUGCACCCCACGGUUUAGGUUCUAGGGGGCGCCAAAGAUAACCCUAAGAUCCACAUAUUUAAAAGUCUUAUAACUUUUUAUUUUUGCCCUCACUGGCCUCCAAGUUUUCUAGGAUGAUGCAAUGUCCAGCCAUCAACACAUUUGUGAAGGAAUUUUUACUCCCCAAAAGAGCGCCCCCCCAUGGCCGGAGAAAAAAGUCCAUUUUUUCUUGUCCCCUAAGGUGAAAAUACACAUUGUUGAGUGUAACACCUGUACGCUUUGGCAAAAUGACACAAAAAUUGACACACACAUGUAUCUCAAUAAGAUCUACGAAAAAGUCAAUGCGCGCGUAUCUGUCAAAUGUACGGUUAAAGGGUUAUUCCGCAUUUUUUGCCGAUCCGCACACAUUGGAAUUUCGCUAACUCCUCCGAAGGCUUUCGUUCCACCGGCACCACAUUUGCUCAGGCCAAUCUACACCCCAUGGCCAUUAAAAGUUAUUCAAAUCAUGAUGCUGCACCCCACGGUUUAGGUUCUAGGGGGCGCCAAAGAUAACCGUAAAAUCCACAUAUUUAAAAGUCUUAUAACUUUUUAUUUUUGUCCCCACUGGCCUCCAAGUUUUCUAGGAUGAUGCAAUGUCCAGCCAUCAACACAUUUGUGAAGGAAUUUUUACUCGCCAAAAGAGCGCCCCCCCAUGGCAGGAGAAAAAAGUCAAUUUUUUCUUGUCCACUAAGGUGAAAAUACACAUUGUUGAGUGCUACGCCUGUAUGUUUUGUCGUAUUGACACAAAAUUUUACAUACACGUGUAUUUCAAUAAGAUCUUCGAAAAAGUCAAUGGCCACGUAUCUGUAAAAUGUACGGUUAAAGGGUUAUUUCGCAUUUUUUGCAGAUUCGCACACAUUGGAAUUUCGCUAAUUCCUCCGAAGGCUUUCGUUCCACCGGCACCACAUUUGCUCAGGCCAAUCUACACCCCAUGGCCAUUAAAAGUUAUUCAAAUCAUGACGCUGCACCCCACGGUUUAGGUUCUAGGGGGCGCCAAAUAUAAC